CAAACCUGGACAUGUACCCGUGAACAUAAAAAAAAGUUUAAAAAUAAAUUAAUUAAAUUAAACUUUUCAUACACAUGGUUUGUUCAAAUCAGGAUUUUGUUAAAUUCAUGCAUUACAUUCUAUUGAUGUCUUUAUAAUCUCUUUAUGCCCAUCACAGUUCCCUCCACUUUCUUUAUUGUUUUUAUUUUGUAUUUUGUGUUCAUUUCAUGGUGCAUUGUAUUGCUAUUUAUUAGUUGAAGUUUUUCGAUGAGGAAUUUUCUCUCAUCAACUAUUUGCUUACCCUGAAACAGAGGUAACCUACAAAAGGCAGUAUACAUGCUUAAUUCUUUUUGUGCAUCUGUGUUUAAAAUACUAAUUUGGUCUCCUAGCAAGUUCAAAAAAAAUGAUAAAUAAAAUGUCACUUUCAAUUUCAUAUUUAAUUCAUAGAUUUAUAUAUUAGAAUUAUAUCAAUUCAUUGGAGACUUUUUUUUAACUGUC
rnacentral:lncRNA from 10 species